rnacentral:rRNA from 1 species
AUUAAUACCGCAUACGCCCUGAGGGGGAAAGUGGGGGACCGUAAGGCCUCACGUUAUACGAGCAGCCGAUGUCUGAUUAGCUAGUUGGUGGGGUAAAGGCUCACCAAGGCAACGAUCAGUAGCGGGUCUGAGAGGAUGAUCCGCCACACUGGGACUGAGACACGGCCCAGACUCCUACGGGAGGCAGCAGUGGGGAAUUUUGGACAGUGGGCGCAAGCCUGAUCCAGCCAUGCCGCGUGUUGAAGGAAGGCCUUCGGGUUGUAAAGGACUUUUGUCCGGGAGCAAAUCCCAGUGGUUAAUACCUACUGGGGCUGAGAGUACCGGAAGAAUAAGCACCGGCUAAAAAAGUGCCAGCAGCCGCGGUAAUAUGUAGGGUGCGAGCGUUAAUCGGAAUUACUGGGCGUAAAGCGUGCGCAGGCGGUUGUGCAAGUCUGAUGUGAAAGCCCCGGGCUUAACCUGGGAACGGCAUUGGAGACUGCACGACUAGAGUGCGUCAGAGGGGGGUAGAAUUCCGCGUGUAGCAGUGAAAUG